GACGAACGCUGGCGGCGUGCUUAACACAUGCAAGUCGAACGGUAAGGCCCUUCGGGGUACACGAGUGGCGAACGGGUGAGUAACACGUGGGUGAUCUGCCCUGCACUUCGGGAUAAGCCUGGGAAACUGGGUCUAAUACCGGAUAGGACUCCGGACUGCAUGGUCUGGGGUGGAAAGCUUUUGCGGGGUGGGCUGGGCCCGCGGCCAAUAAGGUUGUUGGUGGGGUGAUGGCCUACCAAGGCGACGACGGGUAGCCGGCCUGGGAGGGUGACCGGCCACACUGGGACUGAGAUACGGCCCAGACUCCUACGGGAGGCAGCAGUGGGGAAUAUUGCACAAUGGGCGCAAGCCUGAUGCAGCGACGCCGCGUGAGGGAUGACGGCCUUCGGGUUGUAAACCUCUUUCAGCAUCGACGAAGCGAAAGUGACGGUAGGUGCAGAAGAAGGACCGGCCAACUACGUGCCAGCCGCCGCCGUAA
rnacentral:rRNA from 1 species